rnacentral:rRNA from 1 species
AUCUGCCCUUGACUCUGGGAUAAGCGUUGGAAACGACGUCUAAUACCGGAUACGACCCUCGGAGGCAUCUCCUGGGGGUGGAAAGAAUUUUGGUCAAGGAUGAGCUCGCGGCCUAUCAGCUUGUUGGUGAGGUAAUGGCUCACCAAGGCGACGACGGGUAGCCGGCCUGAGAGGGUGACCGGCCACACUGGGACUGAGACACGGCCCAGACUCCUACGGGAGGCAGCAGUGGGGAAUAUUGCACAAUGGGCGAAAGCCUGAUGCAGCAACGCCGCGUGAGGGACGACGGCCUUCGGGUUGUAAACCUCUUUUAGUAGGGAAGAAGCGAAAGUGACGGUACCUGCAGAAAAAGCACCGGCUAACUACGUGCCAGCAGCCGCGGUAAUACGUAGGGUGCAAGCGUUGUCCGGAAUUAUUGGGCGUAAAGAGCUCGUAGGCGGUUUGUCGCGUCUGCUGUGAAAACCCGAGGCUCAACCUCGGGCCUGCAGUGGGUACGGGCAGACUAGAGUGCGGUAGGGGAGAUUGGAAUUCCUGGUGUAGCGGUGGAAUGCGCAGAUAUCAGGAGGAACACCGAUGGCGAAGGCAGAUCUCUGGGCCGUAACUGACGCUGAGGAGCGAAAGCAUGGGGAGCGAACAGGAUUAGAUACCCUGGUAGUCCAUGCCGUAAACGUUGGGAACUAGAUGUGGGGACCAUUCCACGGUCUCCGUGUCGCAGCUAACGCAUUAAGUUCCCCGCCUGGGGAGUACGGCCGCAAGGCUAAAACUCAAAGGAAUUGACGGGGGCCCGCACAAGCGGCGGAGCAUGCGGAUUAAUUCGAUGCAACGCGAAGAACCUUACCAAGACUUGACAUAUACGAGAACGGGCCAGAAAUGGUCAACUCUUUGGACACUCGUAAACAGGUGGUGCAUGGUUGUCGUCAGCUCGUGUCGUGAGAUGUUGGGUUAAGUCCCGCAACGAGCGCAACCCUCGUCCUAUGUUGCCAGCACGUAAUGGUGGGAACUCAUGGGAUACUGCCGGGGUCAACUCGGAGGAAGGUGGGGAUGACGUCAAAUCAUCAUGCCCCUUAUGUCUUGGGCUUCACGCAUGCUACAAUGGCCGGUACAAAGGGCUGCAAUACCGCAAGGUGGAGCGAAUCCCAAAAAGCCGGUCUCAGUUCGGAUUGAGGUCUGCAACUCGACCUCAUGAAGUCGGAGUCGCUAGUAAUCGCAGAUCAGCAACGCUGCGGUGAAUACGUUCCCGGGCCUUGUACACAC